rnacentral:rRNA from 1 species
ACGGAGGGUGCAAGCGUUGCUCGGAAUUACUGGGCGUAAAGGGUGCGUAGGCGGCCUUUCAAGUCCGGCGUGAAAGCCCAGGGCUCAGCCUUGGAAGUGCGCUAGAAACUGAAUGGCUAGAGUAUCGGAUGGGAGAGUGGAAUUCCUGGUGUAGCGGUGAAAUGCGUAGAUAUCAGGAGGAAUACCGGUGGCGAAGGCGACUCUCUGGACGAUAACUGACGCUGAGGCACGAAAGCGUGGGGAGCAAACAGG